GGCGGUGUAGCUCAAGUGGUAGAGCGGGAGAUUUUUAAUCUUUGCGUUACUGGUUCAAAUCCAGUCACCGUGGCCA
rnacentral:tRNA from 2 species